GACGAACGCUGGCGGCGUGCUUAACACAUGCAAGUCGAGCGGUAAGGCCCUUUCGGGGGUACACGAGCGGCGAACGGGUGAGUAACACGUGGGUGACCUGCCCUCAGCUCUGGGAUAAGCCUGGGAAACUGGGUCUAAUACUGGAUAUGACUCCACGGUGCAUGUCGUGGGGUGGAAAGCCUUGUGCGGCUGAGGAUGGGCCCGCGGCCUAUCAGCUCGUUGGUGGGGUGANGGCCUACCAAGGCGACGACGGGUAGCCGGCCUGAGAGGGCGACCGGCCACACUGGGACUGAGACACGGCCCAGACUCCUACGGGAGGCAGCAGUGGGGAAUCUUGCGCAAUGGGCGAAAGCCUGACGCAGCGACGCCGCGUGAGGGAUGACGGCCUCGGUU
rnacentral:rRNA from 1 species